UCGCGAUGUCCAGUUCUUCGUCACAAACAGUUAAUAGGCUAGAAAGGGGUACCCCCUUUACAUCCAUUCAUUCGUUGUUUCCCACCUUUUGAGUGGAUAAUAUGUGUUUUGUUUAACGUUUCUUACGGUUACUUUUACAUUUCGAGACCUAUCUUCUUGUUACCCGGGCAAAAGGAAGAUAGUAAUCAAUUUAAAUGUGUCGCCUCAGAACCUAUCACCUACUGAUGCACCUAGUAUUAGGGGAUGCCAAGGAGAGGUAGGCAACGUGAACAGUGACAGGGACUGGCUGAAAUGCCUUUAUACCCAAGCUUCCCAGCCUUACGUAAUCGAUUCGUGAAUAUUGAACGUAUGCCAGGAUUUCCUGUGGACGUCUUCUUACUUAUCCGGUCAGAUUAUCAUCUGGCUAUCUCAAGGCAAGACUAUCAUAUCUUGCACCUCUUCAAAUAAAUAUAAUUAGUUUAUGUUUAGUUGAUAUAAUUUCGCCGAACUGUUUAAUUUAAUAAUUACACCAUUAAAUGAGUAUAAAUAGUUC